AUGGGCAAGCAUGUUGCGCAGCCGGGACGGGCUGUGUUGGUCAAGUCGGUCAUCACGGCAAUUGCCAUUUACUACUUGACGACGCUAGACCUCCCUGCUGAGGUUAUGAAGAAGAUCGACUCCCUUAGGCGUGCCUAUCUUUGGGCAGGUUGUGACAAGGUCACAGGUGGAAAAUGCAAGAUAAAUUGGGACCAGGUGUGCAAAUCAAAAGUGCAUGGUGGGUUGGGCAUUCUAAAUCUGGAAAAAUUUGCAGCGGCCCUUCAAAUUCGUUGGCUGUGGGCUGCUUGGACAGAUCCGGCCAAACCUUGGCCAACUUGGGAAACCCUUGUGUACAAAAGGACAAAUAUAUUUUCGCCUCUGCCACAAAGGUUGUUGUUGGAGACGGUCGUCGAGCAUCAUUUUGGGAUUCUUCCUGGUUGGAUGGUAUGA
rnacentral:rRNA from 1 species